rnacentral:rRNA from 1 species
AACGUAGGAGGCGAGCGUUAUCCGGAUUUACUGGGUGUAAAGCGCGUGCAGGCGGUUUGAUAAGUUGGAUGUGAAAGCUCCUGGCUCAACUGGGAGAGGUCGUUCAAAACUAUCAGACUAGAGAGUGGUAGAGGAAAGUGGAAUUCCCGGUGUAGUGGUGAAAUGCGUAGAUAUCGGGAGGAACACCAGUGGCGAAGGCGGCUUUCUGGACCAUUUCUGACGCUCAGACGCGAAAGCUAGGGUAGCAAACGGG